GAUGAACGCUGGCGGCGUGCCUAAUACAUGCAAGUCGAGCGAACAGACGAGGAGCUUGCUUCUCUGAUGUUAGCGGCGGACGGGUGAGUAACACGUGGAUAACCUACCUAUAAGACUGGGAUAACUUCGGGAAACCGUAGCUAAUACCGGAUAAUAUUUUGAACCGCAUGGUUCAAUAGUGAAAGACGGUCUUGCUGUCACUUAUAGAUGGAUCCGCGCUGCAUUAGCUAGUUGGUAAGGUAACGGCUUACCAAGGCAACGAUGCGUAGCCGACCUGAGAGGGUGAUCGGCCACACUGGAAUUGAGACACGGUCCAGACUCCUACGGGAGGCAGCAGUAGGGAAUCUUCCGCAAUGGGCGAAAGCCUGACGGAGCAACGCCGCGUGAGUGAUGAAGGUCUUCGGAUCGUAAAACUCUGUUAUUAGGGAAGAACAUAUGUGUAAGUAACUGUGCACAUCUUGACGGUACCUAAUCAGAAAGCCACGGCUAACUACGUG
rnacentral:rRNA from 1 species